UUGAAACACCAGUUCUUGUAUGAUCACUGAAGUUAAGCAACAUUGAGCCUGGACAGUAUUUAGAUAGGGUGACAACUUGGGAAAACCAGGUGUUGUCA